GUGAUUGCUUUGAUGGCCCGUAUACUACAAUUGGAAUGAAACAGAGAAGAUUAGCAUGGCCCUACCACAGAUGACACACAAAUUCGUGAAGCAUUCCAUAUUUUU